GAGGGGAGGUUAAACCAACAAGAACUGCUAACUCUUGCAUCUGAGUAUAAAACCUCAGCCCCCUUG
rnacentral:tRNA from 1 species